rnacentral:rRNA from 1 species
GGUUAAGUAACAAAGGGCGCACGGUGGAUGCCUUGGCACUAGGAGCCGAAGAAGGACGUGACGAACGACGAAAUGCGUUGGGGAGCUGUAAGUAAGCAAAGAUCCAGCGAUAUCCGAAUGGGGGAACCCACUACGAGGAAAGACGUAGUACGCGAAAGCGAGGUAGACGCAGAGAACUGAAACAUCUAAGUACCUGCAGGAAGAGAAAGAAAAAUCGAUUCCCGGAGUAGCGGCGAGCGAAAGGGGAAGAGCCCAAACCAAUGUGCAUGCACAUUGGGGUUGUAGGACUGCAACGUGAGAGUGAAAUGGAUAGAAGAAUGGCAUGGGAAGGCCAGCCAAAGAGAGUGAGAGCCUCGUAUUCGAAAUCGAUAACACCUCUAGCAGCAUCCUGAGUACGGCGGGACACGAGGAAUCCCGUCGGAAUCGGCCAGGACCAUCUGGCAAGGCUAAAUACUCCCUAGUGACCGAUAGUGAACCAGUACCGUGAGGGAAAGGUGAAAAGGACCCCGGGAGGGGAGUGAAAGAGUACCUGAAACCGUGUGCUUACAAGUAGUCAGAGCCCGUUAAGGGGUGAUGGCGUACCUUUUGUAGAAUGGACCGGCGAGUGACGAUAACGUGCGAGGUUAAGCUGAAGAAGCGGAGCCGAAGCGAAAGCGAGUCUUAAUAGGGCGAGAGUACGUUGUCGUCGACCCGAAACCAAGUGACCUACCCAUGAGCAGGUUGAAGGUGCGGUAAGACGCACUGGAGGACCGAACCAGGACACGUUGAAAAGUGUUUGGAUGACUUGUGGGUAGCGGAGAAAUUCCAAUCGAACUUGGAGAUAGCUGGUUCUCUCCGAAAUAUAUUUAGGUAUAGCCUCAGAGUAAGAGUCAAGGAGGUAGAGCACUGUUUGGACUAGGGGGGCGCAAGCUUUACCGAAUUCAGAUAAACUCCGAAUGCCAUGCACUCAUCUCUGGGAGUCAGACUGCGAGUGAUAAGAUCCGUAGUCGAAAGGGAAACAGCCCAGACCACCAGCUAAGGUCCCAAAGUAAUUGUUAAGUGGAAAAGGAUGUGGAGUUGCACAGACAGCUAGGAUGUUGGCUUAGAAGCAGCCAUCAUUUAAAGAGUGCGUAAUAGCUCACUAGUCGAGUGACUCCGCGCCGAAAAUGUACCGGGGCUAAACAAUACACCGAAGCUGUGGAUUCUAGCGAGUAGCUAGAGUGGUAGGAGAGCGUUCUAUUCGCGGAGAAGUCAUACCGUAAGGAGUGGUGGAGCGAAUAGAAGUGAGAAUGCCGGUAUGAGUAGCGCAAGACGGGUGAGAAUCCCGUCCACCGAAAGACUAAGGUUUCCAGGGGAAGGCUCGUCCGCCCUGGGUAAGUCGGGACCUAAGCAAAAGCCGAUAGGCGUAUGCGAUGGACAACAGGUAGAGAUUCCUGUACUUGGUAAGUAUCGAUUGAACGAAGGAGGGACACAGGAGGCGA